GACGAACGCUGGCGGCGUGCUUAACACAUGCAAGUCGAACGGAAAGGCCCUGCUUGCUUGGGGUGCUCGGGUGGCAGACGGGUGAGUAACACGUGAGUAACCUGCCCUAGACUUUGGUAUAACUUCAGGAAACUGGGGUUACUCCCGGACAGGAUCUCCCGUUGCGUGGUGAGGGUUGGAUCGUUUCGCCGGUCGGGGUUGGAUGCGCGGCUUAUCAGCUUGCUGGUGGGGUAGUGGCUUGCCAAGGCUUUGACGGGUAGCCGGCCUGGGAGGGUGACCGGCCACAUUGGGACUGGGAUACGGCCCAGACUCCUACGGGAGGCAGCAGUGGAGAAUAGUGCACAAUGUGCGGAAGCCGGAUACAGCAACGCCGCGUGCGAGAUGACGGCCUUCGGGUUGUAAACCGCUUUCGCCUGUGACGAAGCGUGAGUGACGGUAAUGGAUAAGAGGCACCGGCUAACUACGUG
rnacentral:rRNA from 1 species